AAAGGGGAUGCCUGUCGCCGAUUUGGUGCCUGGUGCAUAAAUGCUGUCUGUUGCAAAAAGGAUGCCUGUUGCAAAAAGGAUGCCUGUUGCAAAAAGGAUGCCUGUGUUGCCUUGAUCUGGAAAAUCGUUUCCCUGGUUCUUCCUGCAGUCGUAUGGUUGCUUCUGAUGUUCUUAGAUGGCCAGUACUUUACAUGUGCUAAGACGUAUUGGGAGGGAAGAUUUGUACUGGUGGAGAAAGCACCCCCGCUGAAGUGGUGUGAGCCAGCUAAUGAGAGCAAAGCCACCCAACAAGAACUAAUGCUGCGCUCACAGAAGCUCCGUUUUAACUCACAGGUCAUAGGCAUUUUUAUCCUUGUUGUUCUCUGUGUGGUUCUGGUAGCAUAUCUAAUCUGUAAAUGCUGCCAACUGGAGCCGCAACCGGAGCCGCAAACAGAGCCGCAACCAGAGCCAUAUGGUUCCAAGGCAGGUGGGUCUGAUGAACCUCAGGAACUGCAACCCUUAAAGGACAGUGAGAGCACACCCACCACAACCCCCUCUCCAACCUCCCUAAACACAAUUUUAAAGCACUCUUCCUUCUCUGUAUGGGUAAAUGAGUUAAACUGAGUUAACUGGCAGCUUAGUAGUGUAAAGAAGGCAGACAUGUACACAGCUCCAUAUCUUCAAGAGACUGCUGUUUAAUUUCAUCAUAUAUACAUAUAUGGUAUAUGGUUCCAUGUUUAUUUUUAUGUUCUUGUGAAACGUAAAUGUGAUGACAGUUGUUUUUGCUUCAGCUCUUGUAAUGAAAUAUGCUUGCAAAAAUAAAAACGCUCCAACAAA